rnacentral:rRNA from 1 species
AUUGAACGCUGGCGGCAGGCCUAACACAUGCAAGUCGAACGAGUGGCGGACGGGUGAGUAAUGUCUGGGAAACUGCCUGAUGGAGGGGGAUAACUACUGGAAACGGUAGCUAAUACCGCAUACCAUCAGAUGUGCCCAGAUGGGAUUGGCUAGUAGGUGGGGUAAUGGCUCACCUAGGCAACGACCCCUAGCUGGUCUGAGAGGAUGACCAGCCACACUGGAACGGGGACACGGUCCGGACUCCUACGGGAGCCAGCAGUGGGGAAUAUUGCACAAUGGGCGAAAGCCGGAGGCAGACAUGCCGGGGGUAUGUAGAAGGCCUUCGGUUGUUAAAGUACUUUCAGCGGGGAGGCGUUACUCGCAGAAGAAGCACCGGCUAACUCCGUGCCAGCAGCCGCGGUAAUUC